AUUGAACGCUGGCGGCAGGCUUAACACAUGCAAGUCGAGCGAGCGGCGGACGGGUGAGUAAUGUAUGGGAAACUGCCUGAUAGAGGGGGAUAACUACUGGAAACGGUAGCUAAUACCGCAUACCAUCGGAUGUACCCAUAUGGGAUUAGCUAGUAGGUGGGGUAAUGGCUCACCUAGGCGACGAUCCCUAGCUGGUCUGAGAGGAUGAUCAGCCACACUGAGACUGAGACACGGCCCAGACUCCUACGGGAGGCAGCAGUGGGGAAUAUUGCACAAUGGGCGCAAGCCUGAUGCAGCCAUGCCGCGUGUGUGAAGAAGGCCUUCGGGUUGUAAAGUACUUUCAGCGAGGAGGCGUUACUCGCAGAAGAAGCACCGGCUAACUCCGUGCCAGCAGCCGCGGUAAUAC
rnacentral:rRNA from 1 species